GUCUCCAGCCAUGCCACUCUGAACGUGCCCAAUCUCGUCUGAUUUCAGAAGCUAAGCAGGGUCGGGCCUGGUUAGUACUUGGAUGGGAGAACACCUAGGAAGACAAGGUGCUGUAGGUG
rfam:Pteropus alecto contig98301, whole genome shotgun sequence.